UACGUAGGUGGCAAGCGUUGUCCGGAAUUAUUGGGCGUAAAGCGCGCGCAGGCGGUCCUUUAAGUCUGAUGUGAAAGCCCACGGCUCAACCGUGGAGGGUCAUUGGAAACUGGGGGACUUGAGUGCAGAAGAGGAGAGUGGAAUUCCACGUGUAGCGGUGAAAUGCGUAGAGAUGUGGAGGAACACCAGUGGCGAAGGCGGCCUGCUGGGCAGUAGCUGACACUGAGGCGCGACAGCGUGGGGAGCAAACAGG
rnacentral:rRNA from 1 species